rnacentral:rRNA from 1 species
ACAGAUUAAGUGUGCCGCCUGGGGAGUACGGUCGCAAGAUUAAAACUCAAAGGAAUAGACGGGGACCCGCACAAGCGGUGGAGCAUGUGGUUUAAUUCGAAGAUACGCGAAAAACCUUACCUGGCCUUGAUAUCCUUCAAAUCCUGUAGAGAUACGGGAGUGCUAGCUUGCUAGAAUGAAGUGACAGGUGCUGCACGGCUGUCGUCAGCUCGUGUCGUGAGAUGUUGGGUUAAGUCCCGCAACGAGCGCAACCCUCGUGUUUAGUUGCUAACAGUUCGGCUGAGCACUCUAAACAGACUGCCUUCGUAAGGAGGAGGAAGGUGAGGACGACGUCAAGUCAUCAUGGCCCUUAUGGCCAGGGCUACACACGUGCUACAAUGGGUAGGACAAUGAGACGCAAUACCGCGAGGUGGAGCAAAUCUAUAAACCUACUCUCAGUUCGGAUUGUUCUCUGCAACUCGAGAACAUGAAGCUGGAAUCGCUAGUAAUCGUAGAUCAGCAUUGCUACGGUGAAUACGUUCCCGGGUCUUGUACUCACCGCCCGUCACACCAUGGGAGUUGAAUUCACCCGAAGCGGGGAAGCUAAACUGGCUACCCUCCACGGUGGGUUCGGCGACUGGGGUGAAGUCGUAACAAGGUAACCAAGGGCGAA